rnacentral:lncRNA from 1 species
AUGAAAGUGAAACUAUUACAGCAGUAUGUUUUGUCGUAUGAGGAAGUAAACUACAUUAAGAGAGAAAAACACAGUCACUGCUGUGGACUGACUGUUGAGACAGAGGUGGAUUUGAGAAAAUUAACUGAGAUGAUUCAUAACUGACUCUGUGAUCAACAUCUGGAUCUGCUUUUAGAUGAAACCAUGGCCUCCAGAAUGAAUCUCUCUGAAGAACAUGACACACAGAUAAAGACAGUCAAGAGGUGAGAAAACGUGAAAUGUUUCACAUUUUUAGACUCUUCUGUUGAGUCCAGGUGAGAUAUUAUGAGUGUCAUAUAUACUGUAGGUGUGGUGUGUUAUGGAUAUUGUCACCAGGUGUCUCUGUUGCUGCUGGAUGUUUCUGUGUCUUUAUCUAUAUGUGUGUAUUGCUCCAUUUUAUUCUAUAAUAUAUGAAUGAAAAGAGCACAUGGGGCAGAUUCCUUUUAUUCAUAGAAAAAUAAUACUUUAAUCUUUUAACUCUGAAGUCACAGCAGACUCCUCAAGUGAAAGAUGAACAUUAAAGGGAGGUUGAAACAGUGAAGGUGUUUCUGUCAGAGCAGAGUGAGAUUUUCAGAAACAGUUUGUAUUGCUGUUAUAUUUCAGUCUGUGGCAGAAUGAAUCUCCUGAACCCAGCUGUGUGUCCAUGAAGAGUGACCGGUCAAUGGAUCCUCCAAUUAAGUUCAGCUCGGGAGACACAUCUGCUCAUCUGAGGUUGUUUUUUUUUUUAGUUUACAGUAUGAGAAAUAUAUAUGAUAUUUAUGAUAUUCAUUAAUUUACUGAUAAGUUUUAAAUACAUUACUAUAUGUUUACAAAAGUAUUCAAUAUUUGUUUAACUACAGUCAAAAACAUAAAGGACUGCAAUCACAUACAGCAAAGAAGAACUUAGACUCCAUUGUGUGUGUGUGUGUGUGUGUGUGUGUGUGUGUGUGUGUGUGUGUGUGUGUGUGUGUGUGUGUGUCAACAAAAGUAAUUAAAUAAAAAGUAAUUAAAAAGUAAUUAAGUAAAAUAGGAGGAAAUACUGUGAAAUACCUCUCUGUAAUAGUCAUAUUACUUUCCUACACACUCGUAAGAUAAGUUGUAGGCCACUAUAAAGCAGAUCAGUGUCCACUAAAGUAGAGAAGAUGAAUCCAUAUGUAACCUGACUGCUGCACAAAGAUGAACAUCAAUCUAACAAACAGCCAAUCCAGUCAAACUCUCUCUUUUAACCUCAGUAUCUGUAGAUGCUGAUGUUUGAGCACACAGUGGAAGUUAUUAGCAGGUCUGAUAUAAUACAGUGAUGUUUAUUAGUAUUCAUGUUUUAACUCUUGUGUAUUGAUCCUUUGGUUCACCUUCUCCGUGACUGAAUGUCU